AGACAGACAGGACAAAAACAAUAUGCGCCCCGAAAAAAUUUGGGUGCAUAAAAACUGUCUUGGAGUUAACAGCAGUUCUCUGUUUCUCCUGAAUGUUAUGUACAAUUUGAUCGGGAUCGGAAGAAUGUUUCAAAAAGUCGGGCUCAGUGAUCAAUUAAUUUAAACAACAGACCGCCAAAAUUUAACCUUGGCCUCCAUGUUGCAACGUCUGCUCUGUCUAAAGGAAGAAGUUUGUUGACCAGACAGCCUGAGAUCGUAUUGCUGUAUCAACCAAAAGAUGCAGAUACACGUAUUUCAUAUGCGCGUCUGUGCAUGAGGAGAUUUCUGAAAAAGAAAAAGUGCUUAUUCAACUUACUGCGAUUUUAACGGGCUUAAAGCUUGGUCCAUGGAUGGUUAUGUUUAAGGAUUUGCCAAUUCAACCGCAAGUGCUGCUGCAAGAAAUUAAACAUGCAGAGACCUUACAAAUUACAAAGAAGUCUGAAGAAAAUUUUUAUUGGACAGAUGGGUGUAAAGCACAGACCUGAGAUAUAAAUUGAAUUGUGAGAAAUAUGAAUCAGGGAUGCAGGUAGAAAAUGGCAAAUGUGAUCCAGAUUGAUAAAAAAUGUCUAAAAACUUUUCUUGUUUUGUAAAUAUUCAAUGCUAUGUCAAUUGUUAUUUUUUUCCCCAAUACCUAAUAGUGUUGAACAUUUCACUCCCACUUUUGCUUAAAUAGAAUGAAUAAAUUUCCAUUUAUUUUUAUUUGAAUAUUAAAAAAUGCCACAUUUUUUCCAUGAUGAACUUGUGGCUUAAAUAAGAGUUCCAGUUUUUUUUCCAUACAUGCUCCUAUUUGUUUGUCAAAGAUAUAAGAUCCAAUACAUUGCUCAUGAACAUAAUGUGUAAUUUUGUUCAUUCAUUUAUAUGUUUUUUUCUCAUAAUGAUAUAAUAAAUUGUAUAUAAUUUU